ACCCUCCCCUAUGGAGCUCCAGAGAAGGGAUUCGCUCACUCCACCGCGAUUCCAAAAGAUACACGGGGCACUUGAGCUCAGCCUUGAGAGCCUCUGAUGACUGUCCUGGAGAGGUUCUCAACCACAAUCUUGGCAGCCGGUGGAGGCAGGUGGUGGUCCCAAUCUACUACCAACCCCAAGUCUUCAAAGUCCAUCCUAUUCAAAAGUGACCUUACGAGCUCCAGCACCAUGUUGGUUCGAGUCUCCUGCUUGAGGGUCCAACGGCUCACAGUCGUGUUCAUCGAUAUAGGACGCCAUGGCUGCCCAGCCGUCUGACAUGUGAUGUUUUGAUACAGGUAUACAAUGUGUAACUAUCAAAUCCGAGUAACUGGGGUAUUGAUCAUCUUGAGAAUUUAUCAUUUCUUUGUGUUAGGAACAGUCCAAUUCCACUCUUUUAGUUAUUUUAAAAUAUGCAAUAAAUUAUUAACUGUAGUCACUCUGUUUUAUUGUUGUUGUUGUCGUCAUUUGUUUUGGUUUUGGUUUUUUUGUUUGUUUUUUGAGACAAGUUCUCCCUCUGUUGCCCAGGCAGGAGUGCAGUGGUGCAGCCAUAACCCACUGUAACCUCAAACUCCUGGGCUCAAGGGAUCCACCCACCUCAGCCUCCUGAGUAGCUAGGACUAUAGACUGGCACCACCAUUCCUGGCUAACUUUUUUUUGUUGAGACAGUGACUCGCUAUGUUGCCCAGGCUGGGCUCUACUCCUGAGCUCAAGCGAUUCUCCUGUCUUGACCUCCCAAAGUGCUAGGAUUACAGCCAUGAGCCACUGCACCUGGCCCCUAACUGUAUUUUUGGACCCAUUAACCAUCCCCAAUUUAUGCCUUCCUCCCUGCUACCCUUUCAGCCUUUGGUAACAAUCAUUCUACUCUCUAUCUCCUUGAAUUCAAUUUGUUUAAUGUUAAGCUCCCACAUAUGAGAGAAAAGGAUACUAUUUAAAAGGAGCAUUGGCUGGGCACGGUGGCUCCUGCCUGUAAUCUCAGCACUUUGGGAGGCUGAGGCAGAACAAAUUGCCUGAGGUCAGGAGUUCAAGACCAGCCUGGCCAACAUGGUGAAAGCCUGUCUCUACUAAAAGUACAAAAAUUAGCCAGGCCUGGUGGUGGGAGCCUGUAAUCCCAGCUACCCAGGAGGCUGAGGCAGGAGAAUCUCUUGAACCCAGCAGGCAGAGGUUGCAGCGAGCCGAGAUUACACCACUGCACUCCAGCUGGGCAACAAAGCAAAACUCUGUCUCAAACAUAAAUAAUUAAAUAGAUAAAUAAAUGAAUAAUAAAAGGAGCACUCACUUGUAAAUGGGGAGGGUAAAAAUAAAUAAAAUAAGAAAAGCAUUCAGAGAUGAAAAAAUAUGACAGCAGAAAUUAAAAUUUCAAGAGUGGAAAGAUAGGCCAAGUGCAGUGGCUCACGCCUGUAAUCCCAACACUUUGGGAGGCCAAGGCACGUGGAUCGCUUGAGGCCAGGAGUUCGAGACCAGCCUGGCCAACAUGGUGAAACCUGGUCUCUACUAAAAAUACAAAAUAUUAGCUGGCCAUUGUGGCACGUGCACCUAUAGUCCCUGCUGCUUAGUAGGCUGAGGAACAAGAAUUGCUUGAACCCAGGAGGCUUUUAAUUUCUGCUGUCAUAUUUUUUGUUCUCUGAAUGCUCUUUUUAUUUUAUUUAUUUAUUUUUAUCCUCCCCAUUUUCACAAGUGAGUGCCCCUUUUAUUAUUUAUUAUUUGUUUGUUUGUUUCUUUGAGACAGAGUUUCGUUCUGUUGCCCAGGCUGGAGUGCAGUGGCACGAUCUUGGCUCACUGCAACCUCCGCCUCUGGGGUUCAAGUGAUUCUUCUGCCUCAGCCUCCCUAGUAGCCAGGAUUACAGGUGCCCGCCAUCAUGCCCGCCUAAUUUUUGUAUUUUUAGUAGAGAUGGGGUUUCAUCACAUUGGCCAGGCUGGUCUUGAACUCCUGACCUCAGGUGAUCUGCCCACCUCAGCCUCCCAAAGUGCUGGGAUUAUAGGCAUGAGCCACUGUGCCUGGCCUUUUCUUUGUUUUGUUUUGUUUUUUGCUUUUUUUUCCUAGAACAUUUAUCAACAUUUAUCUUCCCACACUUUGUUUGUUUGUUUUUAUUUUGAGACGGGGUCUCACUCUGUCACCCAGGCCGGAGUUUAUUGGCAAGAUCUUAGCUCACUGCAACCUCUGCCUCCCAGGUUCAAGUGAUUCUCCUGUCUCAGCCUCCCAAGUAGCUGGGACUACAGGUGUGCACCACCACACCUGGCUAAUUUUUGUAUUUUUAGUAGAGAUGGGGUUUCACCAUGUUGGCCAGUCUAGUCUCAAACUCCUGACCUCAAGUGAUCUGCCCGCCUCAGCCUCCCAAAUUGCUGGAUUACAGUUGUGAGCCACCACGCCUGGCCAAAAACUGGAAUUCUGUACUUAAUUAGUGAACUAUGAAUCAAAUGUGAGGUUAGAAUAAAAAUGUGGGGUUUUUUUUAACACUCUUGUAGUCAAGAAUAAAAAUAGACAUUAAAGAUCUCAAAAAAUUU
rnacentral:lncRNA from 10 species